GGUCGGUUAGCUCAGUCGGUUAGAGCGUCGUACUAAUAUAAUACAAUGUGUUAUUUAUAUAAAGUAAUGCGAAGGUCAUGAGUUCGACCCUCAUACUGACCA